AGUGAACGCUGGCGGCAGGCUUAACACAUGCAAGUCGAGCGGAGAGAGGUAGCUUGCUACUGAUCUUAGCGGCGGACGGGUGAGUAAUGCUUAGGAAUCUGCCUAUUAGUGGGGGACAACAUUUCGAAAGGAAUGCUAAUACCGCAUACGUCCUACGGGGGAAAGCAGGGGAUCUUCGGACCUUGCGCUAAUAGAUGAGCCUAAGUCGGAUUAGCUAGUUGGUGGGGUAAAGGCCUACCAAGGCGACGAUCUGUAGCGGGUCUGAGAGGAUGAUCCGCCACACGGGGACAUGUGCACGGCCCGGAAUCCUACGGGAGGCAGCAGUGGGGAAUAUUGGACAAUGGGCGCAAGCCUGAUCCAGCCAUGCCGCGUGUGUGAAGAAGGCCUUAUGGUUGUAAAGCACUUUAAGCGAGGAGGAGGCUACUUUAGUUAAUACCUAGAGAUAGUGGACGUUACUCGCAGAAUAAGCACCGGCUAACUCUGUGCCAGCAGCCGCGGUAAAAC
rnacentral:rRNA from 1 species